rnacentral:rRNA from 1 species
AUACGGAAGGUCCGGGCGUUAUCCGGAUUUAUUGGGUUUAAAGGGAGCGCAGGCGGAGAUGCAAGCGUGACGUCAAAUUUCGGGGCUCAACCCCGUCUCGCGUCGCGAACUGCGUCCCUUGGUUGCGGGAAGGGGAGGCGGAACUCGUGGUGUAGCGGUGAAAUGCAUAGAUAUAACGAAGAACUCCGAUGGCGGAGGCAGCCUUGCGGCCAGUCAACGACGAUCAUGCUCGAAGGUGCGGGUAUCAAACAGGAGUAGAUACGGUGGUAGUCCGCACAGUAAACGAUGGACACCCGCGGUUUGGCCUGUAUGGCUGAGCCGCCAAGCGAAAGCGUUAAGUGUCCCACCUGGGGAGUACGCCGGCAACGGUGAAACUCAAAUGAAUUGACGGGG